UGAAAGUCCAUAUGGGCAGACGGUGUUGUUUUGGCCUUACAGGUUGCCUGAACGCACUGAUAAGGAUCUGCUUUCAGAAUUGAAAAACAUUUUCUACGCUUGAAAGAUCGUGUGGUGCUACUACUAAAAAGUCAUGACUGUAUUCAUGAACACAUAUAUCAGUGCUGAACUUCACCUAAGAUGAGUGAAACAGAGAAACAGAGAGACAGAUCAGGAUCACCUGUAUUCAGCUCUGUGUCUAUAAAGAGUGACCACUCCAAAGGUGAUGGACCAAACUUCAGUGAAGAAACACCAACAGCUACUAAAAGAGACAGACCAGUAUCACCUGUAUUAAGCUCUGUGUCUAUAAAGAGUGACCACUCCAAAGGUGAUGGACCAAACUUCAGUGAGGAAACACCAACAGCUGCUAAAAGUAAUCAGAGACCAGAGACCUCAGUAAAUAUUGGUUCAGAAAUUAACCGAUGGAAAGCAUUAAAAGAACAGAGAGGAAUAAAGAGUGAUGAGGAACUGGCAACUUUUCUGAUCAACAGGCAUCAGUAUGAGACAUCAGAGGCAGACAUUCAGAAUUGUAAAGACGAUCUUCCCUGGAUCUUCAAGGAUCUUGAGUAUGAAAUAAACACAUUUCAGAAGAAAGAGUUGGAAAGGUUUCAGAAGAUAUUGAGAAAUGGAAACAUACAAGACUUUGUGAAAGACUAUAAGGACGAAAACAGAAUCAGAGAAGCAUUUCUUGAUAUCACACUAAACUUUCUCAGAUGUUUGAAACAAGAUAAACAUGCUGAUAAGCUGGAAGAUGAGCUGGUCUACAUCUGUAAACUGAAAUCAAACCUGGAGAAGAGGUAUCAACGUGUAUUUGAAGGAAUUGCAAAACAUGGUGACUCCACACUUCUAAAUAAGAUCUACACAGAUAUCUACAUCACUCAGGGUGGAGGUGAACAAAUCAAUACUGAACAUGAAGUAAGACAGAUUGAGGUCACUUCCAGGCAUCUAGAAACAUCAGAAACACAGAUUGAAUUCAGAGAUUUGUUCAAACCACAUGACCGAGACCAAAACAUCAGAUCUGUGCUAACAAAAGGAGUUGCUGGCAUUGGAAAAUCUUUCUCUGUGCAAAAGUUUGUUCUGGACUGGGCAGAAGGAAAGGAAAAUCAAGAUAUCAACAUCAUAUUUCCUCUACCCUUCAGGGAGAUGAAUUUAAAAGAGAGUAAAAACCUAAGUCUGAUGGACCUUAUAAGUCAGUUUUUUCCAGAAAUAACAGAACUGAACAUUACAAGAAAUUACAAAAAAGUGCUGUUCAUCUUUGAUGGAUUGGAUGAAUGUCGUCUUCCUCUGAAGUUUGACAGUAAUGAGAUACUGCGUGAUAUCACAUCUCCUGCUUCUCUGGAUGUUCUCCUAACAAACCUUAUCAAAGGAAAUCUGUUUCCUUCUGCUCUCAUCUGGAUAACCACCAGACCAGCAGCGACGGGUAAGAUACCACCUGAAUGUAUUGACCGGGUGACAGAGGUACGAGGAUUCAAUGAUGCACAGAAGGAGGAGUACUUCAGAAAAAGAUUCACUGAUGAGAAUAUGGCCAACACAAUCAUUCAUCAUGUUAAAAAAUCAAAGAGUCUCUUCAUCAUGUGUCACAUCCCAGUCUUCUGCUGGAUUUCUGCCACUGUGCUCCAGAACAUUCUGGAGAAGAAGAGAAACGUUCAGUCUGAUAACACAACAUCUGAAGAUACUCCUAAAACUCUGACACAAAUGUACACACAUUUCUUUCGCUUUCAGAUUCAACAGAGCAGAAGAAAGUAUGAAGGAGAAUAUUCACCUGAUAUUUCCUGGGAUAAAGAGUCUAUCCUUUCACUGGGAAAGCUGGCAUUUCAAAACCUGGAGAAAAGCAAUUUGAUCUUCUAUGACACAGACUUGGAGGCCUGUGGCAUUGAUAUAACUAAGGCAUCAGUUUACUCAGGGAUGUGCACACAGAUCUUUCGGGAGGAAACUGGGAUCACUCUUGGUAGUGUGUACUGUUUUGUUCAUUUAAGCAUUCAGGAGUUUAUUGCAGCUCUGUAUGCACAUCUGAUUCUAGACAUCACCAAGAAAAAUGUGUUUGUUCAAGAGCACACAGGACGGGAAAACAAUGAAACAAUGUUGGGUUUACUAAAGACUGCAGUGGAUAAAGCACUUGAGAGUGAAAAUGGACAUCUUGAUCUUUUCCUUCGCUUCCUCCUCGGUCUGUCACUUGAGUCCAAUCAGCCGCUCUUACGAGGUCUUUUAACACAAGAAAAGAGGAAUGAACAGAGCAACAAGGAGAUAGUGGAGUACAUCAAGCAGAAAUUUGAAGAUAAUUCAUCAGCAGAGAGAUCCAUCAAUCUGUUUUACUGUCUGAAUGAACUGAAUGAUCAAUCUCUGGUGAAGGAGAUUCAAAAGCAUCUUAGAGAAGGAAGUCUCUCAUCUGCUGACCUUUCAUCUGCUCAGUGGUCUGCUCUGGUCUUUGUGUUGCUGACAUUAGAAGAGGAAGUGGAGGAAUUUGAGCUUCAGAAAUUCAAGAAAUCAGAUGAAUGUCUCAAUAGAUUAUCGCCAGUCAUCAAGACCUGUAAACAAGCUUUGCUAAAUGAUUGUAAUCUAACGGACAACAGCUGUUCAGCUCUGGCUAAAGUUCUUGGGUCAGACAGUCGUAUGAUAGAGCUCAACAUGAACAAUAAUAAUCUGAAGGAUGAUGGAAUCAAGCUGCUCUGUGAUGGACUGGAGAACACAAAGUGUGAAUUAAAGCUACUGAGACUCUCAGACUGUGGUAUUGGAGAAGAAGGUUAUGUUGCUUUAUGUUCAGCUGUGAGAUCAAACCCUUCACAUCUGACAGAGCUGGAUCUCAGUGGAAAUGAUCCUGGAGAAUCAGGAGUCCAACUCAUCCAUCAUUUAAUACAAGAUCAAAACUGUGCACUGAAGUCUGUCAGGUUAUUGAAAAGCUCUUCUGCAGUGAAAGCUGUUGAGUAUCUGAGUGAAACUUUUGGUAUAAAUCCUUUACUCCAGAGAGAUCUGAAUCUGAAUGAUCAUAAACUACAAGAUUCAGUACUGCUACAGAUCUGUGAUCUACUGAAGGAUAAACACUGUAGACUCAACACACUCAUAUUGAGUGGUUGUGGUCUUACAGAAGAAAGUUGUUCAGCUUUAGCUUCAGUUUUAAGAUCAAAGCCCGGUUUAAAAGAGCUCGACAUGAGCAACAAUAAUCUACAGGAUUCAGGAGUCAGGAAACUUCACAAUGGAUUAGAAAAUACAAACUGUCAACUACACAAACUCAGACUCUCAGACUGUAGUAUUGGAGAAGAAGGUUAUGUUGCUUUGUCUAAAGCUGUGAGAUCAAACCCAUCACAUCUGACAGAGCUGGAUCUCAGUGGAAAUGAUCCUGGAGAAUCUGGAGUUAAAUACAUCUAUGAUUUAAUACAAGAUCAAGACUGUGCAUUGAAGAAAGUCAGGUUAUUGAAAAGCUCUUCAGCAGCUGAAGUCUUCAAGUAUCUGAGUGAAACUCUUGGUAUAAAUAUUUUACUCCAGAGAGAACUGAAUCUGAGUGAUCAUAAACUAAACAACACAAGACUGAAACAGAUCUGUGAUCUACUGAAGGAUAAACACUGUAGACUCAACACACUCAUGUUGACUGACAGCUGUAUAACAGUAGAAGGUUGUGCUGAUCUGAUGUCGGGUUUUAAUUCAAAUCCUUCACAUAUAAUACAUCUGGAUCUGAGUGGAAAUAAACUUGGAGAUAUAGGAAUGAAGAAGAUCUCUGAUCUGUUGACAAAUCCACAAUGUAGACUGCAGAAACUCAGACUCUCAUGCUGUAGUAUUGGAGAAGAAGGUUAUGUUGCUUUGUCUAAAGCUGUGAGAUCAAACCCAUCACAUCUGACAGAGCUGGAUCUCAGUGGAAAUGAUCCUGGAGAAUCAGGAGUCAAACACAUCUAUGAUUUAAUACAAGAUCCGAAAUGUGCACUUAAGACUGUCAGGCUCAGUAGCUGUAAGCUGACAGAAGAAAGUUGUUCAGCUCUAUCUACAGUUCUCAGUUCAGACUCCAUCAGUUUAAAGGAGCUUAAUUUGAGCCAUAAUAAUCUACAGGAUUCAGGUGUUAAGCUGCUCUCUGAUGGACUGAUGAAUGUUAAAUGUGGACUUGAAAUACUGAGACUCUCAUGCUGCAGUAUUGGUGAAGAAGGUUAUGAAACUUUGUCUAGAGCUGUGAGAUCAAACCCAUCACAUUUGAUUGAGCUGGAUCUCAGUGGAAAUGAUCCUGGAGAAUCAGGAGUUAAACUCAUCUAUGAUUUAAUACAAGAUCAAAACUGUGCACUCAAGAAAGUCAGGUUAUUGAAAAGCUCUUCUGCAGUUAAAGUCUUCAAGUAUCUGAGUGAAACUCUUGGUAUAAAUAUUUUACUCCAGAGAGAACUGAAUCUGAGUGAUCAUAAACUAAACGACACAAGACUGAAACAGAUCUGUGAUCUACUGAAGGAUAAACACUGUAGACUCAACACACUCAUGUUGACUGACAGCUGUAUAACAGUAGAAGGUUGUGCUGAUCUGAUGUCGGGUUUUAAUUCAAAUCCUUCACAUAUAAUGCAUCUGGAUCUGAGUGGAAAUAAACUUGGAUAUAUAGGAAUGAAGAAGAUCUCUGAUCUGUUGACAAAUCCACAAUGUAGACUGCAGAAACUCAGUUUAGGACAGUGUGGUUUAAAAGAUGAAGGUGUUUCUGCUCUGACCUUAGCUUUAUGUUCAAAUCCUUCACAUCUGAGACAGCUGGACCUGAGUGGAAAUAAACUAUCAGACACUGAAGUUCAACUUCUCAGUUUUCUACUGGGAAAUCAACAAUUCAAGCUGGAAACACUGGGGUUGUGUGGUUGCAGUAUUACAGAGAAACAUUGUGUUAAACUGAUUGCAGCUCUGUGUUUAAACCCUUCACAUCUGAGAGAGCUGAACCUCAGUCAGAAUACACUUGAAAACUUAGGAGUAAAACGCUUGUGUGAUCUACUGAAACAUUCAGACUGCAAACUGGAGAAACUGAAAUUAUCAGACUGUAGUAUUGGAGAAGAAGGUUAUGUUGCUUUGUCUAAAGCUGCGAGAUCAAACCCAUCACAUCUGAUAGAGCUGGAUCUCAGUGGAAAUGAUCCUGGAGAAUCAGGAGUCAAACACAUCUAUGAUUUAAUACAAGAUCAAAACUGUGCACUCAAGAAAGUCAGAUUAUUACAGAGUCCUUCAGCAGAAGAAGCUCAUCAGUAUCUUAAUGGGGUUGUAGGUAAAGAGAUUUUACUCCAGAGAGAACUGAAUUUGAAUGAUCAUAAACUAAACAACACAAGAGUGAAACAGAUCUGUGAUCUACUGAAGGAUAAACACUGUAGACUCGACACACUCAUAUUAAGUGGUUGUGGUCUAACAGAAGAAAGUUGUUCAGCUUUAGCUUCAGUUUUAAGAUCAAAGCCCGGUCUAAAAGAGCUCGACAUGAGCAACAAUAAACUACAGGAUUCAGGAGUCAAGAAACUUCAGGACGGAUUACAAAAUACAAACUGUCAACUACACAAACUCAGACUCUCAGACUGUAGUAUUGGAGAAGAAGGUUAUGAAUCUUUGUCUAGAGCUGUGAGAUCAAACCCUUCACAUCUGAUAGAGCUGGAUCUCAGUGGAAAUGAUCCUGGAGAAUCAGGAGUCAAACUCAUCUAUGAUUUAAUACAAGAUCAAAACUGUGCACUGAAGAAAGUCAGAUUAUUGAAGAGUGAUGCUGCAGAAGAAGCUUGUGUUUAUCUGAAUGAAGUUCUUGAUGUUCAUCCAUUACUGUUAAAAGAACUGAAUCUGAGUGAUAAUAAACUGGGAGAUUUGGAUGGAGAGAAACUCUCAGCUCUGUUGAUGGACUCUCAUAGUAAAGUGAAGAAAAUCAUACUGAAUGAUUGUGAGCUGACAGAGAAACAAUGUUUAGCUGUAGCUGCUCUUCUCUCCUGUGUGAAAGAGAUUGAGAUGAACAACAGUCGUCUGAUGGAUUCAGGAGUCAAACAGAUCUGUGAUGAACUCAAGAAACGUCAAUGUCAAAUACAGAGACUCAGACUCUCAUGCUGCAGUAUUGGAGAAGAAGGUUAUGUUGCUUUGUCUAGAGCUGUGAGAUCAAACCCUUCACAUCUGAUAGAGCUGGAUCUCAGUGGAAAUGAUCCUGGAGAAUCAGGAGUCAAACACAUUUAUGAUUUAAUACAAGAUCCCAAAUGUGCACUCAAGACUGUUAGAUUAUUACAGACUUCUUCUGCAGCUGAAGGCUUCAAAUAUCUGAAUGAAACUCUUGGUAUAAAUCCAUUACUCCAGAGAGAUCUGAAUCUGAAUGAUCAUAAACUAAACAACACAAGAGUGAUACAGAUCUGUGAUCUACUGAAGGAUAAACACUGUAGACUCAACACACUCAUAUUAAGUGGUUGUGGUCUAACAGAAGAAAGUUGUUCAGCUUUAGCUUCAGUUUUAAGAUCAAAGCCCGGUUUAAAAGAGCUCGACAUGAGCAACAAUAAUCUACAGGAUUCAGGAGUCAAGAAACUUCACAACGGAUUAGAAAAUACAAACUGUCAACUACACAAACUCAGUCUCUCAUGCUGCAGUAUUGGAGAAGAAGGUUAUGAGUCUUUGUCUAGAGCUGUGAGAUCAAACCCAUCACAUCUGAUAGAGCUGGAUCUCAGUGGAAAUGAUCCUGGAGAAUCAGGAGCCAAACACAUCUAUGAUUUAAUACAAGAUCAAGACUGUGCACUCAAGAAAGUCAGGUUUUUGAAAAGCUCCUCUGCAGCUGAAGGCUUCAAGUAUCUGAGUGAAACUCUUGGUAUAAAUAUUUUACUCCAGAGAGAUCUGAAUCUGAAUAAUCAUAAACUAAACAACACAAGAGUGAUACAGAUCUGUGAUCUACUGAAGGAUAAACACUGUAGACUCAACACACUCAUACUCUCAUGCUGUAGUAUUGGAGAAGAAGGUUAUGUUGCUUUAUGUUCAGCUGUGAGAUCAAACCCUUCACAUCUGAUAGAGCUGGAUCUCAGUGGAAAUGAUCCUGGAGAAUCAGGAGUCAAACUCAUCUAUGAUUUAAUACAAGAUCAAAACUGUGCACUGAAGAAAGUCAGGUUAUUGAAAAGCUCUUUUGCUUCUGAAGGCUUCAAGGAUGUGAGUGAAACUCUUGGUAUAAAUCCUUUACUCCAGAGAGAUCUGAAUCUGAAUGAUCAUAAACUAAACAAAACAAGAGUGAAACAGAUCUGUGAUCUACUGAAGGAUAAACACUGUAGACUCAACACACUCAUGUUGAGCAACAGCUUUAUUACAGCAGAAGGGUUUGCUGAUCUGAUAUCAGUUUUUAAGCUAAAUUCUUCACAUAUAAGACAUCUGGAUCUGAGUGGAAAUAAUCUUGGAGACUCGGGAAUGAAGAAGAUCUCUGAUCUGUUGACAAAUCCACAAUGUAGACUGCAGAAACUCAGACUAUCAGACUGUAGUAUUGGAGAAGAAGGUUAUGUUGCUUUAUAUAUAGCCAUGAGAUCAAACCCUUCACAUCUGACAGAACUGGAUCUCAGUGGAAAUGAUCCUGGAGAAUCAGGAGUCAAACACAUCUAUCAUUUAUUACAAGAUCAAAACUGUGCACUGAAGAAAGUCAGAUUUUUGAAGAGUGGUGCUGCAGAAGAAGCUUGUGAUCAUCUGAGUAAAGUGCUUGAUGUUCAUCCAUUACUGGUAAAAGAACUGAAUCUGAGUGAUAAUAAACUGGGAGAUUUGGAUGGAGAGAAACUCUCAGCUCUAUUGAUGGACUCUCAUAGUAAAGUGAAGAAAAUCAUACUGAAUGAUUGUGAGCUGACAGAGAAACAAUGUUUAGCUGUAGCUGCUGUUCUCUCCUGUGUGAAAGAGAUUGAGAUGAACAACAGUCGUCUGAUGGAUUCAGGAGUCAAACAGAUCUGUGAUGAACUCAAGAAACCUCAAUGUCAACUACAGAGACUCAAAUUAAGAGCUUGUGGUUUCACAGAUGAAGGUUUUUUUGCUUUGACUACAGCUCUCAAUUCAAACCCAUCACACCUGAGACAUCUGGACCUGAGUGAAAAUAAACUGGGAGAUUCAGGAGUUGAUUGUCUCUGUGAUCUACUGAGAAAUUCACAACUUAAACUGAAAACACUUGAGUUGUGUAAAUGCAGUAUUAAAUAUACAAGGCCUGCAAAACUGAUUUCAGCUCUGUGUUCAAACCCUUCACAUUUAAAAGAGUUGAAUCUCAGUGAAAAUAAAAUUAAGGACUCAGGAGUAAAACAUUUAUGUGAUCUAUUCAAACAUUCAGACUGCAAACUGGAGAAACUAUACCUAAAUAAGUGUAAAAUAGCAGAUAUUGCUUCUUUAACUAUAACUUUGUCUGAGACAAAAACAUUGAUGUUACUUAAUCUGAGUAACAAUUAUAUAAACGGCUCGUCAUUGAAGCAGCUCUAUGAAGUACUAAAGAGCUCAAACUGUAAACUGAGGAGGACUAAAGAGAUCAGAUGCUAGUUUGGUGAAAGUACACAACGAGUGCUUCAAAUCAUUCAGAAGAGAUGCUGUUUUUAGGGCAGUUUAUUAAAGAAGACCUGACAUGGAUGACUUCCAAUGAGAAACGACUGCUAAUACUUAUAUAAAUUCAUUACAGAAGGACCCUACCAGACUAUAUUUGAAUACGGCAUACCCAUGAAUUCUGGAACUGUUAUUCCUUAACCCAGUUUGGAGGAUAAGAGCUUACCAACUAGUUAUAAAUAUGCUGAGGUGAUGUAUUGCAAAAUAGCCAACAUACAACAAUAUGGAUGACCCUCUGUCUGGUCAACAGGAGUUUAAAUAUGGACGGGACAGUGAUGUGGCAGCUCUUCCCUGGCUCAUUCACCUCUUGCCUUUCAUUUGUGAAAGGAAGAAAGAAGAAAGAAGAAAGAGGGUCAAUGUGCAACUGAAGCUACUGAUUGUGCUGUGUGAUUAGCAUCAAUCUAUGCUUUGAGGGGGAUGAAUCAGCACAGCCCUGCCUGCACUGCAUUGGGAACAAAAGUUGCAUCCAGAAUUUUUGCAUCAUAAAGCCAUUCCCUCCAUGAUGAAGACCACUGAUGCAGCCUUCCGCUACAUCAUGAGUAAAACAACUACAGAACUAAAUACCAGGUUGGAACGUAUUUAAGAAAAAUGAAACGUCUUUUGAAUUGAAAUGUCUGUUUUGUUAUGGAAAAAUCUUUAGUAUUGUGAAGUAUAAGCAUUUCUGCCUGCCAGUAAGGUAAUUGCAGUGUAUUUUAAUGUUCAAGUUUUGAGUAGGGUGGCUAAUUUUUUUUAAACUCUCAUUUGAUAUAUUAAAGACCUUAUAAUAAGUGGUUUUCAUGUCACUGCGCUGUGGUAUAAGAUAACUUUCAUUAUUCCAUACUGUAUUCUGUAUUCUAAUUGUAGCUGAGGUAUUUAAAUAAGCAGUGUUAAAUGCAAAGUGUUGUGUGUAUCAAUGUAAAUAUUAAAUGUGAUGUACUUUAAUAAAAAGAGGUUUUGCAAUAUUUCUUGUCAUUUGUCUUUUAUAUAAACAACCCAUUAGCAACAAAAGUGGCUAUUAAUCAGUAUUUUAACACUUAACAUUGUUGAAUUCACAUUACACCGGUGUUGACUUUAAAUUAGGAGUGUUAAUUUUUAACACUGUAUUUCUGUGCCAACACCAGUGUAGUGUGGAAACAACAAUGAAUAGUGUUGAACAAAGUGUAAAAUUUAACAAUAUUGAGUGUUAAAUUAACAUAUAAUGAGUGUUGUUAAAUUAACACUACACUUUUGACUAAAUUAACACAGUGUAGUGUGGACACAUAUACACACUUUUCCAGUGUUAAAUUUGACACCCUGGGUGUUAUUUUAACACCAGUGAUUUUGCUGUGUAGGAUAACAUCAUAAAAAUUCUAGACUUUUUUAACACAUAUGCCAAACUAAGUUUUGAAUGCUUAUAUCUUCUGAAUG